GUGGCAAUCAAAAAAAUGGUGAAAAUAAACAGACUUUAAUAACGGUAGUUAUGAUAUUUUAGUGGCGUAUUAAAUGUUGCAAGCCGCCAAGCCGCAAGGAAAACAAAAGAAGGCAACAGGAAAUGAGUUCACAUGAAAAUUCUGUCAAAUUUUAUAUUUGGCGUAUUUUUUUUUAUUUAUUUACUUUUUUUUUUUUGGUACCUACAAAAAUCGAAUUUUUAUAGACAAAUGGGUGCCCGCACUGCUGACGUGCUAAAUUUGUUUUAAUUUUCUUUUGUUUUUGCCAUUUUGUGACAGCUGGCUUCCGACUAACCACCGCCUUUUUCGCGUACACUUUUUUUCGUCUACCGAAAUUUACUUAAAAAAUAUAUGUAUUUGUUUGAGAUAAAAAAAAAAACAACGAACAUUUGCAGGUUCAUGAAAUAUACGUAAAAUAGAGAUGUACCUACAUUAAAAUGCAUGCAGAGCCUUAUUUGACAGGAACUAGAUUUAAAGCGAAAAGCGAAACUUUUCAGAAAACAGAAAAAGCAAAGAAAACUUCCAUACAUAUGUAUGUAUGUACAUACGUAUACACGGAAGCAAAACACGGCAAACCCAUAGCCGCAGCAGCGUAACGAGUAGCAUAAUUAUUUUGCUUCCCUGUGUGGCCUGUCCUCCUUGCACCACAUUUAACAGAUCCGCUUUAACCGGCCGCAAAAUGGAAUGCAUGUAAAAAAAGUGCACAUAUGUAUAUUACAGAAAAGCAUAUAUGUAUGUGUAUAUGUUUAUAACAUACAAAUUGAUAUAAAAUUAAACAAAAAAUUCAAUAAUCGAAUAAACUGCAAAAAAAUACUUGCAAAUAAACGCACUUGCUUGCUUGCCUAGCGGCUUUUACAUACGUUUUACCAGCACAAAAAGGUGGGAAAUGAGUGAAUAGGAGAAAAAAGGCUACGUAUAAAAGAAAGAAGGAAAAAUUGCAGUUGCUGCGGCGCCCAAAACAACCGGGCACGAAGAAAAGCUCACGCGUUGCCAAAUAUACAUAUGUAAGUAUGUAUGUACAUCUGUAUGUACAUAUAAACAACUCAUGACGUUAACUAUUUCGCAACAUCAAUGCUGAAAAGUUAAACACAACCGGUAUUAGGACCGCAACCGAUUAAAUUCCAAUCUGCCGAAAAAAAAACCACUUCAAGAUCAAAGUCGCCGUCUGUUUCCUUGUGCAAAACCCAAUAACCAUGGCAGAGACAAUCGAAAAUCAUGUGGAUAAAAAUGAUUUUAAAAGAUAGGUAUAAACGAUAAGAAAAUGGUAAAAAAAAGCUUAGUGUAAAAACUGUAAAGCAGAAAUGAAACCUGCAAUGUUGCCAACGUAGGCGUCAACGUCGCCGCCGCAGCUGCUAAAGGCAAGCUGACAUUACAGAUCCUCAGGAAACAACGGAAUUUACCGACGACAAAUUAAAGAAAAUACUAGAACGGGAAACGAAACUAUGAAAUUAAGCCGUUAUAUAUUUUUGGUAAAUCAAACGCGGUUGUAAGAGAAUCAUGGCGGAAUAUGGCACCUUGUGGAAUGGUGUAAAGAUUCCUGACCAAAUUUUCACAAAUAAAAUUAACUUGCAUACAUAUGAAUAUAUAUAUAUUUACAAUUAUUAUCUAUGAGUUUCUUCACGUGUGAAACGACUGGGUUUAUUUUAUUGUAUUUUCGGAAUAGAAAGCUAAAGAAAAGUGUAAAAAGAUUUCGCAAUAAGAUAAAGGUUGUGCUUAAUGGACAACAUACAGAAAAUAUUGCAGCAAGUAUUAUUAGAAUUAAUAACAAGAUGAACAACGCGACUAAAUCUAACAAACUCGGACAAUUGUACAGAUCUAUUCCUGGCAGAAACAUCAAUCCGCCCAAACAUAUCAUAAUAUCCUGGAUGAUACUUUUAACUUUUGGUAGACCUUAGAUGGCUGAAAAUCCAAUAACCAUGGUUUACACAAUCGGAAGUAAUAUCGCUUAUAACUGAGGUAAAAUAGAUAAGCGCUCUGAAAUAGCAAAGGAAAGCACAACCUAAAAAAAAAAAAAACAUCUGCAGAAUCGCCAACGUAGACGCCGCCGUUGUAAUCGUAGCCGCUAAAGGCAAGCUGACUUCGCAUUUCCACCAAGAAGCAACGGCGUCGACGGACGAAUAGAAGAAAAUAGAACGGGAAACGAAGCCAUGGAGUGGGGCAAUAAACAUUUUCUUAAAACAAUUUUGUGUAAACUUCAAAAUAUAUAUGAAUGUAUGUAGUAAUAAAUAAGAACAUUACGUUUUGUUACUAAA
rnacentral:lncRNA from 1 species